rnacentral:rRNA from 1 species
GUGAGUAACACGUAGGUAACCUGCCCUUAAGACGAGGAUAACCAUUGGAAACGAUGGCUAAGACUGGAUAGGAAUAUUUGAGGCAUCUUAAAUAUUUUAAAAGACCUAGUAAUAGGUAUACUUAAGGAGGGGCCUGCGGCGCAUUAGUUAGUUGGUGAGGUGAAGGCUUACCAAGACGAUGAUGCGUAGCCGGACUGAGAGGUUGAACGGCCACAUUGGGACUGAGAAACGGCCCAAACUCC